rnacentral:tRNA from 1 species
GCGCCCGUAGCUCAGCUGGAUAGAGCGCUUGCCUCCGGAGCAAGAGGUCACAGGUUCAAAUCCUGUCGGGCGUA